rnacentral:lncRNA from 1 species
UCCUUCACAUAAAAAUAAAACUAAAAAUAAAAAUAAAAAAGUCUUCCACACUAUGAAGUAUGGACAGAUGAAGAUUGAAUGUUUCUAAACUAUGUCGUGUAUCAUGAACUCAUUGCCACGUCACUUCCAUACAUUCGCAAUGUACGGGUCAACCCUGUACAGGCAUAAACGUUAAAAGACAUCUGUACAAAUUGUGGUGGAUCUGGCGGUGGAGCUUGGCAAUUGGCCGUUUUAAGCUUCCUUGCCUAUGUUAUCGUGCUACUUUAAUCAGGGGAUCCAGGGCCGAUUAAAAUAUUUUCCCUAACCUAAUUAUUUUUCCAAGCAUGCUUGGUGAUAAGGAUUGAAAAUAACAACGGAUCUCGUCAUGCCAUACCAACUUGCUUAAUAAAACAACUAGGAGGACG